rnacentral:rRNA from 1 species
GAUGAACGCUGGCGGCGUGCCUAAUACAUGCAAGUCGAGCGAACAGAUGAGGAGCUUGCUCCUCUGACGUUAGCGGCGGACGGGUGAGUAACACGUGGAUAACCUACCUAUAAGACUGGGAUAACUUCGGGAAACCGGAGCUAAUACCGGAUAAUAUAUUGAACCGCAUGGUUCAAUAGUGAAAGACGGUUUUGCUGUCACUUAUAGAUGGAUCCGCGCCGCAUUAGCUGGUUGGUAAGGUAACGGCUUACCAAGGCAACGAUGCGUAGCCGACCUGAGAGGGUGAUCGGCCACACUGGAACUGAGACACGGUCCAGACUCCUACGGGAGGCAGCAGUAGGGAAUCUUCCGCAAUGGGCGAAAGCCUGACGGAGCAACGCCGCGUGAGUGAUGAAGGUCUUCGGAUCGUAAAACUCUGUUAUUGGGGAAGAACAAAUGUGUAAGUAACUAUGCACGUCUUGACGGUACCUAAUCAGAAAGCCACGGCUAACUACGUG